CAGUAGCCGCGGUAAUACGAAGGGGGCUAGCGUUGCUCGGAAUCACUGGGCGUAAAGGGUGCGUAGGCGGGUCUUUAAGUCAGGGGUGAAAUCCUGGAGCUCAACUCCAGAACUGCCUUUGAUACUGAAGAUCUUGAGUUCGGGAGAGGUGAGUGGAACUGCGAGUGUAGAGGUGAAAUUCGUAGAUAUCCGCAAGAACACCAGUGGCGAAGGCGGCUCACUGGCCCGAUACUGACGCUGAGGCACGAAAGCGUGGGGAGCAAACAGGACUAGAUACCCGCGUAGUCCCUGUCUCUUAUAU
rnacentral:rRNA from 1 species